rnacentral:rRNA from 1 species
GCAAUUAUACAGCGAAACUGCGAAUGGCUCAUUAUAUAAGUUAUCGUUUAUUUGAUAGUACCUUACUACUUGGAUAACCGUGGUAAUUCUAGAGCUAAUACAUGCUAAAAAUCCCGACUUCGGAAGGGAUGUAUUUAUUAGAUUAAAAACCAAUGCCCUUCGGGGCUCCUUGGUGAUUCAUGAUAACUUCUCGAAUCGCAUGGCCUUGCGCCGGCGAUGGUUCAUUCAAAUUUCUUCCCUAUCAACUUUCGAUGUUUGGGUAUUGGCCAAACAUGGUUGCAACGGGUAACGGAGGGUUAGGGCUCGACCCCGGAGAAGGAGCCUGAGAAACGGCUACUACAUCCAAGGAAGGCAGCAGGCGCGCAAAUUACCCAAUCCCGACACGGGGAGGUAGUGACAAUAAAUACUGAUACAGGGCUCUUUUGGGUCUUGUAAUUGGAAUGAGUACAAUUUAAAUCCCUUAACGAGGAACAAUUGGAGGGCAAGUCUGGUGCCAGCAGCCGCGGUAAUUCCAGCUCCAAUAGCGUAUAUUAAAGUUGUUGUGGUUAAAAAGCUCGUAGUUGAACCUUGGGCCUGGCUGGCCGGUCCGCCUCACCGCGUGUACUGGUCCGGCCGGGCCUUUCCCUCUGUGGAACCCCAUGCCCUUCACUGGGUGUGGCGGGGAAACAGGACUUUUACUUUGAAAAAAUUAGAGUGCUCCAGGCAGGCCUAUGCUCGAAUACAUUAGCAUGGAAUAAUAGAAUAGGACGUGUGGUUCUAUUUUGUUGGUUUCUAGGACCGCCGUAAUGAUUAAUAGGGACAGUCGGGGGCAUCAGUAUUCCGUUGUCAGAGGUGAAAUUCUUGGAUUUACGGAAGACUAACUACUGCGAAAGCAUUUGCCAAGGAUGUUUUCAUUAAUCAGGAACGAAAGUUAGGGGAUCGAAGACGAUCAGAUACCGUCGUAGUCUUAACCAUAAACUAUGCCGACUAGGGAUCGGACGAUGUUAUUUUUUGACUCGUUCGGCACCUUACGAGAAAUCAAAGUGCUG